rnacentral:rRNA from 1 species
UGGGGAAUAUUGCACAAUGGGGGAAACCCUGAUGCAGCGACGCCGCGUGAAGGAAGAAGUAUCUCGGUAUGUAAACUUCUAUCAGCAGGGAAGAUAGUGACGGUACCUGACUAAGAAGCCCUGGCUAACUACGUGCC